rnacentral:rRNA from 1 species
ACCAGACGAUGCGGUUACCGCGGCUGCUGGCACGGAGUUAGCCGGUGCUUCUUCUGCGAGUAACGUCACAGAUGUAAGGUAUUAACUUACACCCUUUCCUCCUCGCUGAAAGUGCUUUACAACCCGAAGGCCUUCUUCACACACGCGGCAUGGCUGCAUCAGGGUUUCCCCCAUUGUGCAAUAUUCCCCACUGCUGCCUCCCGUAGGAGUCUGGGCCGUGUCUCAGUCCCAGUGUGGCUGAUCAUCCUCUCAGACCAGCUAGGGAUCGUCGCCUAGGUGAGCCUUUACCUCACCUACUAGCUAAUCCCACCUGGGCUUAUCCAUCAGCGCAAGGCCCGAAGGUCCCCUGCUUUCCCCCGUAGGGCGUAUGCGGUAUUAGCAGUCGUUUCCAACUGUUAUCCCCCACAAAUGGGCAAAUUCCCAGGCAUUACUCACCCGUCCGCCGCUCGUCAUCUUCAAAAGCAAGCUUUUGAAAUGUUACCGCUCGACUUGCAUGUGUUAGGCCUGCCGCCAGCGUUCAA